UCUUAGGCUUGUAAAUAAAGGUUGUGUCAUGUAGACACUUGUGAGAGAUAUUCGGUCUGUAGUGGACCAUUUUGACCCUUUGUUGUGCAACCAUUCAGAGCUUGUAAAGUGUGUUUGUAAUUUGCAUUGAUUAUGAAGUGUUUUCGAAAAUGUUUGCUUAUAGAUCCCGAGUGAGACGCUUUCUCUAACCCGUUUUCUCUUUUGUAGGUCCUAAGGGACCAUAGGAGGUUUCGAGGAGGUUGACCUUUACGGACGAACACGCAAGGGUACCGCACGACUUGAGCAAAAUCAACUAAGUCCGUGACAGAUGGUAUCAGAGCGAGAAAAGCACUCAUAGAAACACUUGGCAUGCAAACGUGGGGGACCUAGCGGGGCUGCGUUGAGUGCAGCCAGCACACGCGACCGUUUGGGGGAAAACGAGCAUGGAGAUGUAGGGAAAAUGAGUCGCUCAAAGGAGCGGACAUCUAAGAUUGGCACUGAGAGGAAUGACCAACCCUUCGCGCAAGAGGCACCACGAGAACAAGCAAGCUUGGAAGAAUGCGUAGCGCACAAAGGUUGGGAUGGCUGAGUUCGAGCUACGGCUCGACUUGACAACAAUACUUGAUGGUGCUCAAGGCAAGCGAGGCGCUUGGUAAAGGAUGAGACCAUACAAUGUGGAAUGGGUUGUUCAGCGACCGAAAGAGUUGUGCAAAGCUCACAAAGUUGAGGGGAAUUGCUAACUCGAAAAAUUUGGUACUCAUGCAAGGGCUUGUAUGCGGACGAUGGAAUGUUCGUGGCCAUCCCAAGGCGACCGAAACUUGAUCCCAUAGAGCAUUGAAACUUUCUCUUCGACAUGAGAACGAUACAUCCGUAGGAGGCUAAAGUGUGCAGCGAGUUUAGCAUAUUGCUAGGCCUUGAGUGGUGCAGCGAGGACUGUAUUGACGUGGAGUCGCAAUCUAGCAAGUGCAUUUGUAGGAGGCAAAACAAUGCACAGUUUGUUCAGCAAAUCGGAGUAGUCCAAGGGGAUGGUGGUCUCCGAAACUUUCAGAGAGAAGGAAACGAAGAGAGAUAUUGCUCCAAUGGGAUAGAUAUCCAGGAGGGAUAAGUCCCGGCUCUCUAGAAGGAGAAUCAUGUGCAAUAGACCGCACAUGUUGAGGAGGAGUACCUCAAAAACAACAACUCCACGAAGCUCAAUGGACCGAGUGAGCGGCGAGGAGUUAUCGCAUGAUCUCGCUUGAGAGAAUGCAUUGGUGGAUGCAUUGCGAGAUCAAGUGGGGGAGCGACCCAAAGCAACACAAAUGAAGGCACACUUGGAGUCGAUAUAGAGAUCGGACUCAAUGGAGGGCUGACCCGUAGAAUGGUGGGCGCGAGGGCCACCAUCAACUCAAUGCAAAACGAGGAACGGAGCAACUUGGGUGUAACUUGGCGAAGUACCCAAGCAGCAUGAAGAGAGCCAACAUAAAAGAUGGAACAUGGAGCGGAGGCACAGAGCUUUCCUUAGACAGAGGUCAAGGACAUGAACUCUUGCAAAGGCAAGAGCGGGAUCAUGUCGUUUCAUGGGUCUUUCAUUCUGAUGGAGCGGACUUAUCUUGCAUGGUGCCAAAGACUGAGGGAGCUUCUGGGCACAUGCACCUUAUCUUGGAGAAGCAUUUGAUGGAGGAACUAAGACGACUCAACUUGCGGAGGCGAAGUUGAGUUCAGAAGGCCUUGGCACGGGGCAAGAGGACGCGGUGGCAAGUACUCUUGAAGAAUAUGCCACAAUGUUGCCAUUCAAGUUGCCAUAAAGGAAGCGGUGCGCAGCGGAGAUUGUGUUGGUAGGCAGAGGCCCAGGAUCCAAACAAUGGUGCACCAUUUUCAACGAAGUCGGUGGACUUCGGGAGCUACUAAGCAACGGACUGUCCUAGAGCGGUGCUUCAUCUAGGUGUGACCUAAGAGCGGGUGGAUGAAGGUCGAUUACCAAAGGAGCGAACACAAUCAAAAGUGGAAGAGGCCCUACGAUAUGUUGGCAGAGGUCACACAUGGAGGGAUCGCAAUCCGAGUUCAUCCCACAAUGAUCAGAAUGCAAUAGAGAUGUCACCAGGAGGCGACAUGGUGCAGCGAAUCGUGGUGGAAUAGUUCGUGGCAAUUCGAUAUACACAAAUUAUAGCCCCGUGAGGGACUAUGUCAUACGGAGGUAUGAUCGAGAGCUACUAGGAGCUCCACUUCGGUGAAACAACACGACGGCAAGAAGGGCUAUGGAUUCAAGGAGUGAAGGUCAUGGUAUCGCAGAGGCGGGUUUUCCGUGCGUGCAUCAAAUUUUACAUCGGAUAAAAGCCUUGCUUAUCAGCAUAUGGGGGCUAUGUACCACCGAGGGAAUAUUCGAAUGCAAGCACCAGUGAGUCCCAUAGGAGGGACUUGAUCAUGCAGAGGUAUAAUCGAAGCAAUUGGAGAGUUGGAGUGCUCCAGAGCUCAUAUUCGCUUAAUGGAGCACGGCAAGUCGGAGGACAAGGUCGAGUAAGCGAACGUUGCUACCAAGGAAGCUAAGGAGAACAGAAUCGGUGCAAACCCUACAACAUGAUGGUAAAGGCCCUGCAUGGGAGUCGUAGUCUGCCUUUCCAUCGACUAAAGGGAGCUGCUUGGAGAACACAGAGGUGUUGAAGCAGGAGGUCGAAAGGGGCGAGGAAGCGACAACGAGUCCAGAGGGACUUAGCUACCCAAAAUCAAGCAUCAGUUAGAAUAGAGGUGAACUCGGAGGAGUGCCAUAAAGAUAUAUCUACUGAUCGUGAAGAAAAGGGAUGCAGAUGCGAGGCGACGGAUAGUAGAGCCAUGGGCAUGGCAGCACCAUGGUACCGCAGAGGUGGGACUUCUGUGAAAGUCAUUGAUCCCUUGCUCUCACGGAGGGAGAGUGCUUGGUCGUGAAAGGGACCGAGGAGGUGGAGCAUGCAAAGGCAAACUCCAAGUACCAAGACAAGGUUAAAGGGCAAAGGCCAAGGAACUUCGUGAGACCGGUGUUAACGAGCUUCUCAUUAAGAUAGCCGAAAGUGUAGGACUUCGGGUCGUGCAAGAGUGCACGACCAAGGAACGAAGCAGGCAGUACGCGGUGCUAUACCUUUGCUACUUAGUGGAGUAGGCGACAGGGUUGAUGGAGAAGACGGUACAAUCCCAGAGGCGACCAAAACUAUUAGAGACUUACUCCAAGUUGGGGUGAAAACUUCCUGCAUUCCAGAAGUUCGAUGGCAUUGAGAAGGUGAAUCACAAUAGCUAACUCAAUGCAAUGAGUGCAAACACUUUGAAUGCUUCAGAAAUGUAAGCAAAGAGCAGGCGAAGGUCAGUAACCAGCUCGAUGCAUGGAGUACAACCCUUGAGGAGGUGGGCGAAGUCAAGUAACCAUUGUCUUCUCAACUCUUAAGAGAAUGGGCGAAACUGGGUACCCCAAUUCUCUUAUCUAUCCAGCAAAGAAGCUCUGCACAAGUUCAAAGACCCUUCGAAGAUAAUGGAAGACAAUAGUUGUCAAAUCCUCACCAAUGGUGAUCAGUGCUACUGAGAGUAGAUUAUCCGCUUCAUUUCCCAAUAGAAUGUCAAUCGAAAGCGGAAGUGAUGCGAAUCUACUUAAAAGUGACAACUAAAUGAAAGAAGAGUCGAUGGGCAAAUUUUGUGGAGGAAGGACCCAAAACUUCAGAAGUUUACGAGGCGAUGCUCGUUAAAGCUCCAACAAGCAUCCACCCAGUUCAAGCAGCAUGAGGCAUUUGAGAGACUGACGCAUAAUAAGGAUGGUCUUUUCCUUCAUCUGAUGGACCCGCAGAAACCAACAGGGAUCAGCACAACUCAGCUAACCCCAAACUAGAGUCAGUCAUUGGCGAGUUGAAGCAGCAUGGUGGAUCAAAAGUUCGACUACUUAACAACAGUAGUAGAGAGCAGCUAGGAGCCAAGAGGCAUAUUGCAGUUGGAGCAGAAGAUUGAAGACUCAACAAAGGCGAGGAGUUGCAGUGUCGGCAAAGGCUUCGACGAGGACGUCGAAAGAAUAAGUGGGGGAGAAUGUCACAAACAAUUCUAAACAGGAUGUUUGAUGUAAUGCUUAUGUAUGUCCGUGUCUUUUGGUUUGUUCAUGCUUUAUACAGCAUGUAGAGGGACGGUCGAAGGCUUAACAGCCCCAUUUUAGUUGGGUUUGGUGGCCUUCUUAGGCUUGUAAAUAAAGGUUGUGUCAUGUGGACACUUGUGAGAGAUAUUCGGUCUGUAGUGGACCAUUUUGACCCUUUGUUGUGCAACCAUUCAGAGCUUUUAAAGUGUGUUUGUAAUUUGCAUUGAUUAUGAAGUGUUUUCGAAAAUGUUUGCUUGUGGAUCCCGAGUGAGGCGCUUUCUCUAACUCGUUUUCUCUUUUGUAGGUCCUAAGGGACCAUGGGAGGUUUCGGGGAGGCUGACCUUUGCGGACGGACACGCAAGGGUGCCACACGACUUAGGCAAAACCAGCUAAGUUCGUGA
rnacentral:lncRNA from 1 species